CGCGCGCUGGCCGAUCGGCUAGGCAGUGGAUUCUGAAUCCGCUCAGACAGGUUCGACUCCUGUGCGCGCUGCCA
rnacentral:tRNA from 1 species